rnacentral:lncRNA from 1 species
CUGUAGUGGUUUCCCGAGAAAGAGCGUGUUAUAGGACUUCCACCCCAGCUACCUCCCAGGUCCUGAGGAUUUGGUGUGCAAACUUAGAGCUACAUCAUCAGCUUUCCUGGUUCUGAGGCCUUCAGACUUGGACUGAGCCACUCAACUGGCAUCUCAAGGUCUCCAGCUUGCUGACAGCCUGCUGUGGGACAUCUCAGCCUCCAUAACUGUGUAAGCCAAUUCCCCUAAUAAACCUCCUCUGAUAUAUCUAU